AAAGACCGCGCAUCAAUGGGAAGACGUGAUGCGGAGUGAAGUAUAGUAAUGAAGUCCGUGAGCUGUGCGUCAAGAAAAGCCGCUAUUGUUCAUACCAUACCCGUACCGUAAACCGACACAGGUGGAUGAGGAGAGAAUCCUAAGGCCGGCGGAAGAAGCAUUGUCAAGGAACUCGGCGAAAUGACCCCGUAACUUCGGGAGAAGGGGUGCCACUGAGAAGUGGCCGCAGAGAAUAGGCUCAAGCAACUGUUUAGCAAAAACACAGGUCUAUGCGAAACCGUAAGGUGAGGUAUAUGGGCUGACGUCUGCCCGGUGCUGGAAGGUUAAGAGGAGAGGUUAGCGGAAACGCGAAGCUUUGAAUUUAAGCCCCAGUAAACGGCGGCCGUAACAAUAACGGUCCUAAGGUAGCGAAAUUCCUUGUCGGGUAAGUUCCGACCCGCACGAAAGGCGUAAUGAUUUGAGCGCUGUCUCGACAAUGCAUCCGGUGAAACUGAAGUACCAGUGAAGAUGCUGGUUACCUGCGCCAGGACGGAAAGACCCCAUGGAGCUUUACUCCAGUUUGGUACUGGGAUCCGGUACUGCAUGUACAGGAUAGGUGGGAGGCUAUGAAAUGGUAACGCCAGUUGCCAUGGAGCCGCUGUUGGGAUACCACCCUUGCAGUAUUGGGUUUCUAACCAGCCGCCGUGACCCGGCGGUGGGACAAUGCCAGACGGGGAGUUUGACUGGGGCGGUCGCCUCCGAAAGGGUAUCGGAGGCGCCCAAAGGUUCCCUCAGGAUGGACGGAAACCAUCCAAAGAGUGCAAAGGCAGAAGGGAGCUUGACUGCGACACCGACGGGUGGAGCAGGUACGAAAGUAGGGCUUAGUGAUCCGGUGGUAUUAAGUGGGAACGCCAUCGCUCAACGGAUAAAAGCUACCCUGGGAUAACAGGCUUAUCACUCCCAAGAGUUCACAUCGACGGAGUGGUUUGGCACCUCGAUGUCGGCUCAUCGCAUCCUGGGGCUGUAGUAGGUCCCAAGGGUUGGGCUGUUCGCCCAUUAAAGCGGUACGCGAGCUGGGUUCUGAACGUCGUGAGACAGUUCGGUCCCUAUCCGGCGUGGGCGUAGGAUAUCUGAGAGGAGCUGUCCUUAGUACGAGAGGACCGGGAUGGACGGGCCGCUGGUGCACCGGUUAGACUGCCAAGUCUAUAGCCGGGUAGCCAAGCCCGGAAGGGAUAAACGCUGAAGGCAUCUAAGCGUGAAGCCCCCCUCAAGAUGAGAUAUCCCAUCCGAAAGGAGUAAACCCCCUUGAAGACGACGAGGUUGAUAGGGCAGAGGUGGAAGUGUGGUAACACAUGGAGCUGACUGCUACUAAUAGGGUGAGGGCUUGAGC
rnacentral:rRNA from 1 species